rnacentral:rRNA from 1 species
UACGUAGGGGGCUAGCGUUGUCCGGAUUUAUUGGGCGUAAAGAGCGUGUAGGCGGCCAGGUAGGUCUGCUGUGAAAACUCGAGGCUUAACCUCGAGAUGUCGGCGGAAACCAUCUGGCUAGAGUCCGGAAGAGGAGAGUGGAAUUCCUGGUGUAGCGGUGAAACGCGCAGAUAUCAGGAAGAACACCCGUGGCGAAGGCGGCUCUCUGGGACGGUACUGACGCUGAGACGCGAAAGCGUGGGGAGCGAACAGG